rnacentral:rRNA from 1 species
UACGUAGGUGGCGAGCGUUGUCCGGAUUUACUGGGCGUAAAGAGCGCGCAGGCGGUCGUGCAAGUCGCGUGUGAAAGCCCCCGGCUCAACUGGGGAGGGUCACGCGAUACUGCUCGACUCGAAGGCAGGAGAGGGAAGUGGAAUUCCCGGUGUAGUGGUGAAAUGCGUAGAUAUGCGGAGGAACACCGAUGGCGAAGGCAGCCUCCUGGGAUAACACUGACGCUCAUGCACGAAAGCGUGGGGAGCAAACAGG